rnacentral:rRNA from 1 species
AUUGAACGCUGGCGGCAGGCCUAACACAUGCAAGUCGAGCGGAUGAAGGGAGCUUGCUCCUGGAUUCAGCGGCGGACGGGUGGGUAAUGCCUAGGAAUCUGCCUGGUAGUGGGGGAUAACGUCCGGAAACGGGCGCUAAUACCGCAUACGUCCUGAGGGAGAAAGUGGGGGAUCUUCGGACCUCACGCUAUCAGAUGAGCCUAGGUCGGAUUAGCUAGUUGGUGGGGUAAAGGCCUAACAAGGCGACGAUCCGUAACUGGUCUGAGAGGAUGAUCAGUCACACUGGAACUGAGGCACGGUCCAGACUCCUACGGGAGGCAGCAGUGGGGAAUAUUGGACAAUGGGCGAAAGCCUGAUACAGCCAUGCCGCGUGUGUGAAGAAGGUCUUCGGAUUGUAAAGCACUUUAAGUUGGGAGGAAGGGCAGUAAGUUAAUAACUUGCUGUUUUGACGUUACCAACAGAAUAAGCACCGGCUAACUUCGUG